rnacentral:tRNA from 1 species
AGGAAGUUAGUCUAAUAAAGAUAGUUGAUUUCGACUCAACAGACCAUAGCUUCAACCCUGUGACUUCCUU